rnacentral:rRNA from 1 species
CAGUAGCCGCGGUAAUACGGAGGGGGCUAGCGUUGUUCGGAAUUACUGGGCGUAAAGCGCACGUAGGCGGCGAUCUAAGUCAGGGGUGAAAGCCCGGGGCUCAACCCCGGAAUAGCCUUUGAGACUGGAUUGCUAGAAUCUGGGAGAGGUGAGUGGAACUCCGAGUGUAGAGGUGAAAUUCGUAGAGAUUCGGAAGAACACCAGUGGCGAAGGCGGCUCACUGGACCAGUAUUGACGCUGAGGUGCGAAAGCGUGGGGAGCAAACAGGAUUAGAUACCCGAGUAGUCCCUGUCUCUUAUAC